AACGAACGCUGGCGGCAUGCCUAACACAUGCAAGUCGAACGAGACCUUCGGGUCUAGUGGCGCACGGGUGCGUAACGCGUGGGAACCUGCCCUUAGGUUCGGAAUAACUCCCCGAAAGGGGUGCUAAUACCGGAUAAUGUCUUCGGACCAAAGAUUUAUCGCCUUUGGAUGGGCCCGCGUUGGAUUAGCUAGUUGGUAGGGUAAAAGCCUACCAAGGCGACGAUCCAUAGCUGGUCUGAGAGGAUGAUCAGCCACACUGGGACUGAGACACGGCCCAGACUCUUACGGGAGGCAGCAGUGGGGAAUAUUGGACAAUGGGCGAAAGGAUGAUCCAGCAAUGCCGGGUGAGUGAUGAAGGCCUUAGGGUUGUAAAGCUCUUUUACCCGGGAUGAUAAUGACAGUACCGGGAGAAUAAGCUCCGGCUAACUCCGUG
rnacentral:rRNA from 1 species